CGAUGCCUCCAGCCGCCCCUGGCCCCUCCAGGGGGCACCGGCCCCACCUGGCCACAGGGUGGCACUGGCUGGCUCGGGGGCAGGGGGCCUGUGCUGGAGGGGGGGCCACCGGCCCAGGUGGCAGCAGGUUGAAGUCUCUCUCCACCCCCUCAUCAGCCCCCAUCCUGAACCCCACAGGGAGUCACGAAGCUGCCGGUCCCCCCACACCCAGCGCGGCCGCAGGGGGGCACGUACAGAAAAGAAGGCAAAACUGUUGAAGCCUUUGAGGUGAAAUAUUACAGCAGCUUUAGUUUUAACAACAUCCCCGGUUCCCUCUGACUUUGGUUGUGAGGAGUCUUUAGAAAAUAAAAUCCCACCUUGACAUGACCACCUUCACCAGACGAGGACAUUCCCGCAGAGACGUACAUUGCGUCAUGGAACAAGCCACCCAGCUACCCCAAGAAAACCUGCUGCAAUACAGAAAUAAAAGCCCUGGAACCGCACACCCCCAAUUGUCACCUAGCACCUUACCCUGGAACCCACACAGGAUAUCAUCAAACAACUGCAGCCCAUACUCGAUGGGGAUUCCAUCUGAAAAAUCUUUCCUGAGUUCCCUUUUUGGCCUUCAAACAACCCCCUGCCCCCUCUCCAAGCUCAUCAGAAGCAAGCUCCUGAGAGGUGAAACCAGAAAUCGGUGGGCUCUCGAGUGAACUCACACAGGAAAAUGAUAAAAGACAAAAACACCACAUCACGGUGAACAAUUGUCACAGAAUGAUCACUCCAUAUCUGACUUCUCCAUCCUUGUCCUGAAAGGAAACCUGCACAAAACCUUCAAAAUAUAGCCUGGGAGCUUAAAUUCAUAACUCAACCUGACACCAAAAACCAUGGACUCAGUAGAGACACUGGAUUUAUGGCUCAUUACAACAAUAUGUAACCCACAAACCCUCCUUUGUCCUCGGACUGCAGAAGCCUUAGCUGCCCACCUCACUUUGAGUGGUCUCUUGUAACAUGUGCUCCUUGUGCUAAACGAUCCACUCUGCCUUCUAUUUAGCUGUGACCCUCAGAGUACCUUUCUCAGCCCUGAAGACGAGCUCUGUGGAGCUCAAAAGCUCGUGUCUCUCACCAACAGAAGUUGAUCCAAUAAUGGAUAUUACUUCACCCACCUUGUGGGCUGGUCUGCACUGGAAAUAUACAUCGGUAUAGUUACAUCUCUCAGGGUUGUGAAAAAUCCACACCCUGGAGCAAUGCAGUUAUCCCAACCUAACCCCCAGUGCAAGCAGUACUAGGUCGAUGGAAGAAUUCCAUCUCGGAGAGGUGAAUUAUGCACCGAUGCAGCAUUUUAGGUGUACACUUACCCUCAGUCUUUACAUGGCAACAACUGUUCUUUUGGGGGCAAAGGGACGCAGUCAAAAUGAGUUGGAGCUGCAGUUGCUGUUGCUGUUAAAAUCCGAUCCCAUUUCCUCCGAGACAAGACAAACAAAAGGAGAGACAGGAACAGCAAAGACAGAGGACACAGCUUCUGGUUAUUAUGAGAAACAUGGGUCCAGCCCCUGGUGUGACCAGCCACGCUGAGACCUGGAAAACUUGGGCCAGUAUCGAGCUGUGCAGAACAGUGGUUUAGCUGCCUCUCUGGUCACAGGCUCAGAGCUGGGUUGCAAGAUAUAGUCUUGGCCAACUAAGCCAAAAGGGAGAGAGACAGGAUGGUGAAAAAAUAAGGUGGGGAAGGAAAAGGACAUGUGGUGCGGGGGAAGGUGAAAAGGGUGAGUGACACAGAGGGGUGACAAAGUCUCCCACCCCAGGGGGUGGUUAGGAUUUACCCAAAGCAGGUGGAGGUGGCUACAUCAUCUGGGUCCCUGUCUGGGCUAGUCUGGUCAUGACAUCCCUCAGGAUCAAGACAGUGAAGGCUUAGCAGAGUGAUGGUGGAUGCUGGGGUCCCAGGGGACAGUGAGGGUGGCAGUCAUGAUGGUGACACUUGUUCCUUUCUGUUCUGAUUUUCAGUCGGCCAACAUUGCUGCCGUUCUCCCCACAAAGUCUCUUUGAGGCCCUAAAAGGGAGUGGUGGCUGGAAUGGCCAAUCCCCUCAUUAUUUUGUUCACCCAUUUGGCCAAGUUUCCAAUCAUUGAUUUCCAGUUUCCCAUUUCUUUUGUUCACAGGCAUGAUCUGAAUACAGUUCUGGAGUUAGAUCGGGAGGGACAAGAAAAGCAAAAACAGAUUUUGUUUGGACUAAUACAGUCUGUCACCCUUUGGCACCUUUGCCCAUCAUCAUUUGCUGUUGUAGGUUACUGUGACAUCUCAUGAACGUUCACUCCCUUCUCAAUUGUGGUCUCUAUUAGAUAAAAACAAACCUUCGUUAAUCAGUUUGGUUAAUGGAUUUCCCCAUACCACCAUCCUUGGGGCUCUUUGAAUUCUGAUGGCUUAACUACACAAAAGGACUCGAGCUACAUUUGAUUGUAGAGAAUUGUAUUAACUAUCCUUAAGAGCAACAUAUAGGGAUAAGAAGGCAAAAAUACCAGCAGUAUAGUUUUGCUAACAAACUAGAAAAUUGGCCUAUACGAUAAUGGGCCUAUCCAAGUUUCAGGAAUCACAUAACAACUGCAAUAGAAAAGAACACUUAUUCACUCAACAUCUGUUCUGGGAAGGUGACUUUGUCCAGGUGAUCAACCCCAGUGUUGCUAACACAGAGGAAAAAAUAAUCCAAAGGUAAAACGUAAGACAGUCUGGGCAAUUAUUUACAUCUUAAUUCAUCAAAGUCUCCUUUGCAAUGGAUCUAUACCAGUCAACCCUUUUAACCUAGUUCUCCAGGAGUUAUAUGAGCCCCCGAAUCUGCUUAACACUAUCUAACUUGAACUCCUACGUUUAGGCUUGGAAGGAUUCGAUUUUUAUUGGUCAAUGUCAGUAAAUGUCGAUUUCACCACACGCGCCAACCGACGAAGCAGUAUUUCCGUCAAGUAAUCAUCUAAAUGAACAGUGAGGCAAAGUAGGAAAAAUGCUGCUUGUGAACUUCCUAGUUUGAUGUCAGGCUACUGACUUUGUAUAUUUUGGCACAUGAUGUUAACAAUUAGUUUGUUCGUGGUUAUAAAGCUUUCACCUUUUCAUCUCAAUGCCUGCUGUCAUUAAAUCAUUAUUGUCUGACUGCCAAUAAUUUCCCACAACUGUGAACAUUUAAAGAGAUUUAAAAAAUUAAAAUGUUUAAAAACAAA